AGGUAGCCUUUGUCUGAACCUCUGAUGUGCUUCAGCUGGUGUUGUAGUUGAACUUUGUUCAGAGGCUAAAAAUAUAUGGAAUCAUUAGCUUACAGGCAGGUUAUUUAUUUAACACAUUAGCAGGAUGGGAGUUCUGUACACCAACCAGCAUUAUUUUGGACAAUGAAAUCUUCACAGUAAUGAAGCAGGUACUCAUCAUAAAGAUCAAGCAGGUCAGAAACUGCCAUAUUUGGGUAAAUAACAUCACGGACCUCUUCCCACAAUCCUUCCUUCUCAAUCUGCAUGAUUGUUCACAGGCACACAGUGUCAAUAAAGAUGGCUUUACAAGGUCACUUUUCUAGCCAGAGUAAAAGGUUUUUGUGGAAGUAAUUUUAGGCUGCAUUGAGUUAAUUUCUGGAGGAGAUGGAUUUUGAUACUUGGACAUACACUUUUGAUUGGAUAAUUCCAUUUUAAUAUCCAACAAUGUGCAAUUCUUAUCUUACUCUUUGGAGGCAGGUAUAAGGCCAUAUUAUCAAAGCAUUAAACAGUUGACCAUAGAUUGAUAGAAUGGAUGAAAAGUAUGGCUUACUUGGGCUCUUUUGUAACAAUAUCCUGCAUCUGUCUGACUGUGUCAAAGAAGAUCUCUCUAUCUGUUAUAUCAGUGGUACCAGGGCAAGCAACUUUUUCGAUAGCUAGUCGGACAAAGUGAGCAUUGUAAGUGCUCCACCCCAAUGGAGAAGACUCCGAAGAGGUUGUCGCCAACUCCUUCCCUUUUGUUCUAUCUGCCUCUCUCUGAUGGUCAGUCAUUUCCUAUGUAAAGACUUGAUUGAAUAAUACGUUGGUCACUGCCCAAUAAGGAAAAUGAGUUCAUUUGAA